GGGUAUAAUUAGUAUGUACCAGAAGCUUUGUUCAAUGCAAUCUUUAUAUAUAAUAGGUGUUUGUGUAUGCAUGUGCGCGUACAUGUGUACAACGAAAAGAAGAAGAAAGUUUCUUCAAUGCAAGCCAAGGUUGGAAAAUAAAACAAUUUGGAGCUUCUCAUUUUACUUUGUAUUUUGACCCUCUGGACAUAUGUCCUGCAAGCCCAUUAGGGGAUUUCGAACACCAUUAACCUUCUAUAUCUAGAAGGAAAAGCAUAUAAAGCUUGACCAUUUUUUUAGAUCAUAAUGCUUCAUAGACUUAACUGAUUAUCCAAUGUAGCACUCCACCGUCAGAAAGGAAAAGAAGGAGAAAUUCGUAGUUGCAUAAAUAGGCAUUUAUGCUAUCUUACACACCUACUUACUAUAUCCUAUGGUGACAGUUAAUUGUGAGAUUUAUCUGCACUCUGUGAAUCUUCAUUACUGUCCACAUUACUUUUCUGUUUCACUGUGGAUGGAGACUUCAAAAGAUGGUGAGAGGAUUGCUGCGGGAAAGGAUUUGACAAGUUAGUAGCUUUCUGCGGUUUCUUUUUCUCGAAAAUUUGAAUUCCAUUUCAUUUUCUAUUUUAAGUAGAGUAGUACUCUGCUCACAGAAAGAAACCCAGCAGGAGGAACAAGCACUCCCCCACUAAGUUACUCGGACUUUUCACUUUCGGUGCCACACGCGUGUCGACACAACAUGGGUGUGGGUGUGGGUGUGGGAUCCGUACCCGUUCUGGUCAACCAAUUUUGGAUACUUUGACCAAAAUCGACAGGGAGUGUCAAGUCAACAAGGGCCAACUAUUUUGACACGGGGAAAGUAAUUCAGAAGCCGCCUUGCAACUUAACUUCAGAAGUCAAUGAGUGGGAAGUGGAAGAUGCCUGUCAACUACUCAAUCUUCUAGAACCUCUAACCUUGGACGAAAGCAGAGUGGAUUCAGAUAUAGAGCGCCAAUAGAGAGGAGAAAUUUUCUGUUAAAAUCUGCUACAAACUUUUUCAACAACAUACUGGUCAGUGGCAGGUAUCAUGGCCUUGGAAGGUGCUUUGGAAGACCAAAACACAUACAAAAGCUGGUGGUUUUGGAUGGAUUGCAGCCUUGAAUAGAUGUCUUGCUCAGGAUAUGCUACAUAGAAGAGGACAUGCCUUAUGCAGCAGGGUUUUUAUUUGUUAAGAAAUUCAAGAAUCUGUAAACCGCGUUUCUCCACAAACUGGACAGAUAUGGAUAUCUUCCAAAAUAUCUAUGGUGUGAAGUGGGUAAUGCCUAAUAGAAUUAGACGUCUGUUGGAAAGUAGGCGAGUCAACAGGUAAGCAAAAGCGAGAAGAAGAUAUGGACGACCAUUCCUCGAAGAAAGAAACAAAGAUGCUUUGAAAAUCAGAGGCUCCACAUCUCCAAUGUUUGAAAUAGAUGCUUGCAAAAUUUGUAAUUUUCGGUUAAGGGAAGUGUAGUAGAAGACCUGAUUGAGUUUUUAAAUUUCACAGACAUGCAGGAGUUCAAUAUCCUAUGUAUUUGCUUGUAUUUUAGUAGUACCUCCUUGGUAUUUUUCUGAAGUUUCUUAAUAAAAAUAAAUGUUACUU